rnacentral:rRNA from 1 species
GCACGGGUGCGUAACGCGUAUGCAACCUACCUUUCACAGGGGGAUAGCCCGAAGAAAUUUGGAUUAAUACCCCAUAAUAUUAUUGGGUGGCAUCAUUUGAUAAUUAAAAUUACGAUGGUGAAAGAUGGGCAUGCGUCCUAUUAGCUAGUUGGAGUGGUAACGGCACCCCAAGGCUACGAUAGGUAGGGGUCCUGAGAGGGAGAUCCCCCACACUGGUACUGAGACAGGGACCAGACUCCUACGGGAGGCAGCAGUGAGGAAUAUUGGUCAAUGGUCGGAAGACUGAACCAGCCAUGCCGCGUGCAGGAAGAAUGCCUUAUGGGUUGUAAACUGCUUUUAUAUGGGAAGAAUAAGGAGUACGUGUACUUUGAUGACGGUACCAUAUGAAUAAGCAUCGGCUAACUCCGUGCCAGCAGCCGCGGUAAUACGGAGGAUGCGAGCGUUAUUCGGAAUCAUUGGGUUUAAAGGGUCUGUAGGCGGGCUAUUAAGUCAGGGGUGAAAGGUUUCAGCUUAACUGAGAAAUUGCCUUUGAUACUGGUAGUCUUGAAUAUCUGUGAAGUUCUUGGAAUGUGUAGUGUAGCGGUGAAAUGCUUAGAUAUUACACAGAACACCGAUUGCGGAGGCAGGGGACUAACAGACGAUUGACGCUGAGAGACGAAAGCGUGGGGAGCGAACAGGAUUAGAUACCCUGGUAGUCCACGCUGUAAACGAUGGAUACUAGCUGUUUGGAGUAAUUUGAGUGGCU